rnacentral:lncRNA from 1 species
AGAGAGAGAGAGAGAGAGAGAGAGAAGGAAAGGGAGAGAGAGGAAAAUAGAGAGAGAAGGAUCGUGACUACCGUCAAUCGGCAGUCGAGAGAGAAGAGGAGGUCUGCGAAGUGGCUCAAGGCAUGUUCGGCUGUUCUGCGGCUCCCUUCGGUACGAUUCCACCAUAUUUAUGUCGGAUUUGAGGGCGCGAAGCACUCUGCGGUGAAUUUUGACCAAUCCGCAAUGGCGAUCAACAGUGAGCAGCGGCAACCGACGGUGGGCAGCGCCAGCGCGUGGUGGUCCAGUGGCAGCACGUGUGGCGGUGCGUGUGGAGGUGCACCGACUCCGGUGGUUGCGCAUAGUGAGUCCUAGGGACCCGGUUCGCGUAAGCGAGUUUAGAAAAUCCUGAUGGUUUACUAUUUUAAAUUUAGGAUUUAUUGAUCCUAUUUAAUUUUAAUAUAAUAAAUUAUGUAUCCAGUUUAAAAUUAAAAACAAGUCUAGACACGGGUGUUUGAAAUUAAGGAAUAACAAGUAUAUUACUAACCCGAUAUGGAUAUUACUAUAACAAGUUGAUCUUGUACAUCAGAGAUAAUUUUAUGAAUGAGAUUUAG